GGGGGGGGGGGCGGGGGGCGGGGGAGAGCUUCAAGCAGAGCCGCCGGCCACGUCGGCUUUGGCGUCUGUAACGUUGGGCGCUAGCGACCACCUUCCUGGGACUUGGACCGUUCUACUGGCUGGUUUCUUCGGCCGCGACGCCUCCCUUCCCUGCAUGCUGCUGCUCAGAUCCCAUGGCAGUCUUUGGGGUUUCCACAUGCCCCUUAGGAGUUCCUCGCGGUUCUAGGUCUGUUCCGCCCUCUGGGUGAUCUCCUUCAAUACUGUGGCUGCUGAGAUCUCCGCACAGGUGAUUCUUGGAGGAAUCCACAUAGCCCCGCCAUCCUUCUGUGUCCAGCUGCUUUGUGGAUUUGGCAAAGGUACUUUGACAGGUCCACAACCGAACGUGUCAACUUCUACUCAGACUGGCGUGGCCUGAAUUACCUUCCGAGUGAAACCGAAGCCCGCUCAGACACUUCUCUUUCACCCUCACAUGUGGGUUCUAGUAGUUGUUGAAUCUUGCUCUUCUCUGCACUGGUCUCCUGGAUUAUUCUCGAAUCCAGAUUUCACUCUGUGAUCGUGAGACCAAUAUCAAAGCAAUUCUGGUAAUGAAACUGCAGUCACCUUUGACACUCUCUUCGAGUUACCUGCCAGCCAGUCAGCUGUCUCAAGUUAUCUUCCUCCAGAUCACUUCCUUUUCAUUCCCAGGCAAGCAGUAUCUGGGAUUAACAGGAACCACUUCCUAACUGGCCACCCCGCCUCUAGUCUACCCCCCCAUUCUAGUCCUUCCUGAAAAUGACUAAGUGGAUUUUCCUAAUGUGUUUCUUUGUUGAUUAGUCUUCAGCGGCUCUCCACUCCUGACCAAAUUAAGUUGGGGCUCUCAUCACUAUGGACCAGUUUACCUUCCAACUUUCCUCCUUCCUUCCUUUAUAUACGCAACACACAGAAGCCUUACGCAGGCAGGCCUUGUGCCUUCCUGAGUCAAGCAACAGGGACCAUUUUCCCUGCUCCUGUCUCAUCUAUUAAAAUCCUAGUUAUUCUUCACAGCCUGGCUUAGGCGGGACUGGGUGUAUAACAAAGGACAGGAGCUUUUGAAUUACUGAGGCCAAGUGCUCUCACCUGAAUAUAGAGGUAAUAAUCCUCCUAUCAUGAAGUCACGGUAUAAAGCAGAUAACAUUUGUUAAUCAUCUUGGCACAGUAAUCUUUCCAUCCUACUAACGUUCGCUGAACCAGAAUACCUUAUGUGUCCCCCCACCCCCAAACACAUUCUAAAGUUCACACAAAUGAUAGUUUAUGUAAAAAUUUAUUUGACCAAAAUGUAGAAAAAGUGAUACUAUUACAUAUGAUACAGUUGCAAGAAUCUAAAUGAAAGGUGUGCGUUUUAUUUAAUUGCACAAUUUGCUAGUGUACCUUCUGGGUAGUGUGAUGCUUAAUAAAUAGGAGUGAGGGGCAGAGAAUCUGGAUAAGCUAGAAGCAGGGUGAUUUUGUCAGAAUUGUAAACUUGAGUUGGCCCCCACACUGCUGGGGAAUGUGGAAUGUUUCAGCUCUGAGAUGUUACCCCAGAAAGCAGAAAGACAACAAAGCCAAAAUGCAGCUGUGCCUACAAAAUGCUCCAUAUCCAGUUUAAUCAGGAGUUUCUUGGUCUUUCAUUAACUUGGUCCUGAAGAAGGAAUUAAAGUCCUACAUAAGUAAAUCUUCAGUUUGCUAUUCCCGGAAGCAUACAGGAGAGGAAGCGAGGCCCAUUGCUUUAUCUGUACUUUGCUGUCAGAGAGGACCCUUCUGCCCAGUAGUUGUCAGCAUUGCUCAGUUAUUGAUGGCUCGCAGUCUUUUUGAUCGGACUUCUCUGAACGAGACUGAAUUCUGCCACACUCAUUCCUGCUAAGCAGAUGGUCUCAGAUCAGAGCAGACAAGCAUGGGCCAUUAUUGGAAUAAGAGAUCUGCUCCUCAGAGAACCUCAGAAUGAAAGAAACCUGUAGAGGAACAUAGGAUCUAUCCAGAAAAUAUCUGGGUACUUAUUACGAUGAUUUCCCAAGCAUUCUCAUACUACCUGCCCAGAGGAUGUUUGUUCUGCAUGGUGGUGUGUGGGAAAGAGCCAGGAUGAUAAGGUUGAUCUAUGGUUUAUGACUUCCCACAAGGCAAGCCCUCUUCCCCCUCCUCCCUUUUUUUAUGCUCUGGAUGGAAAAUCCCUACCCAUUUUAAUGGGAUGGUCCCUGGCUACCUGUCGUGUGACCAACAGUGGCCCAGAAGGUUAUGUAUUCUGCGGCCUUUUAAGUUUACCUGUGACUAGACACUGGAGUUGGUUUUUGAAAGUAUAAGUUUGUCUAUUCUCCCAGGAACCAAACGCCCUCGGUCUCUAUAGGCGUAUGCUCAGUAUGAAAUACCCUGCCUACCUUAUGAAUAAAUGCAACUUAAAGAUAAAAAUAGAGCUGAAAAAGCUGGUGCCAUUUGAAAAAAGGAAGGAAUGAGAUUUAACGGGGUGCUCAAAGCUUCUCUGAUACAAAAUAUUUGGUCACGUACUCAUAAUUUGCUUGACAUUUCCAGCAAAGCGAAGAUUUCAAUAGCAAAAGAAACUUCUUACAAGAGAAGAGAAAGA